rnacentral:lncRNA from 1 species
CAAGGCAUAGUAUCUGUUGGCUGGGUUUAGUUGAUCAGCAGAGUCUCUACCCUCUGCUGAUCAAUAGUGUCCUCAUAGAUUCCAAGCAUCUCACAGAAAAGGAGGAAACAAACAAUAGCAAUAACAGAAGCAAAUAACGUAUAGCAUUAAAAUAAAUACCUGUUGCCUACUAUGACAUCUUCAGCACUAAUUACCCCCCAAACAGGAAUGGUGGAAUCAGCCAUUGCUGAAAGCAAAAACAAUAAAUAGCCGUGAACUAGAUCUGGCGUUAAACAAUAUGUGUCAACAAUGCCAUCCAUAGUAUUAAUCACUGUAGCAACAUGAAUGGUGUUAUGGGUAGGAGUUAUAUAAACUAAAUAGUUCUAAAAGAUGGUAAAAAUAUAGUUCAUUAAGAGAAAAGAAAAUGUGAUGUGAAGGUAAGUCUGAAUGAAAGAAGACUAGAAUGUUCAAAAUGUGAAAAGAGAGAAAGCAGAAGAGAUGUAGCAAAUGACGUCUAUAAAGGAGGAGAAAAUAAUUUUAAAAAACAAAGUAAUGAAAGAGAAAGAAUGAUAGAAUUUUGGUUGUUAGAGAGAGGAAAAGAAAGAAAGAGAAACAAACAAAAACAAAACAAAAAUGAACAAAAAAAUCCUAACCUGCAAAAGACAAGGAAAAAUAGCAAUCAUUAAAAAUGCCAAAAUGAGAAAGAAACAAAUAUGUAUGUGUGUGUGUAUAUAUAUAUAUAUCCCAAAUAUGUACAGAUAUAUAUGCACAUAUAUAUAUCCAUAAACCAACCAGCACAGCAAGAACACCAAAGGGGGGAUGAUUCUUAAUGAAAAAUGAAAGAAUUGUCUCUACUAAGUUGGUCAAAACUGUCGAUGAGGUUGGAUGGUCACUACCUACAUCUGACUGUCCUCCUUUCCAUUUCUUCUUGGGCUAUGGAGAGGGAGGGAGGGAGAGAGAGAGAGAAUAUGCAUGAGAGAGAACAAAUAAGUGAGGACUAGGGAUUUUUUUUUAAGUUGUAGUUGGACACAAUAUCUUUAUUUAUUUUUAUGUGGUGCUGAGGAUUGAACCCAGGCCUCACACAUGCCAGCUGAGUGCUCUACUGCUGAGCCUCAACCCCAGCCUUUGGGUUUUUUUUAACACCUUCCUCUUUUGUGUUGCUCACCAAGCUGCUAGCUGGAGUGGUCUAAAGCUGAAACUGCUUAAAAUAACUUACAUCUUCCCUUCUGACCAGCAAAAGGUAGGAUGGAAUGGGAAGUACUGUAGCAGAUCAGAUCACUAGACUCCCAGGGAGGGGCGGCUACAGAGUUCUAAUGAGGAGUUCUAAUGGCAAUGGCUUAGUUCUGAUCAGGCCUUAAGGACAUUUUUAGUUGGUAUCUGUUCUGGAAAGAUUUGCCAGCCUACCUCUAAGGCCAGACAGAUACCAGUCUCUGCUGGGAAUCUCAAUUUCAGAAACCUCCUGAGAAUUCUACUUGUGGGGCAGGGAAGCCAACCCUUCAGAGGUCUUACACAUUACAGUGCCCAUGAACACAGCUUUCCCAGACUUAAUCCCUGAGGUUAAUCACACCUGCCUUUUCAGUUUCCUGACCCUCCUCAGCUAGUUGUGUGGGUCACCAGACUCAAAGGGAAAACACACCCCUCCAUAUCUCUGAAUUCAAUUCCCUUGGGUACACUCUUCUUUGUGCCUGUUUCACUCAUGUUCUACUACAUACACCCUAAGCCACAUGGUAGGAACUUGCCAGGGCAGUAUGGCAAUAUUUGCUAUAAUUUCUCGGACUCCUGUAGAAGCAAGUUGUGUCAUGACCUCCUUGAGAUAGCUCCCCACUUCAGCCCUCUGCUUGCCAGUUGAGAAAUACACAGCUCUUUUCAAAUGAGUUUGCUAUACAGCCUCUUGAUCAGCUAAGCUCAGGCUGCUUUUCUGAUCUUCAGUAUUUUUCUGUGCCAAGUUUGUUUAUUGUCUUUCUCUCUGCUUGUUUAUCCCUUCCUCUGUGGUGACCCAG